UACGUAGGGGGCAAGCGUUGUCCGGAUUUAUUGGGCGUAAAGAGCGUGUAGGCGGCCAUGCAGGUCCGCUGUGAAAACUCGAGGCUCAACCUCGAGACGUCGGUGGAAACCGCAUGGCUAGAGUCCGGAAGAGGAGAGUGGAAUUCCCGGUGUAGCGGUGAAAUGCGCAGAUAUCGGGAAGAACACCCGUGGCGAAGGCGGCUCUGUGGGACGGUACUGACGCUGAGACGCGAAAGCGUGGGGAGCGAACAGG
rnacentral:rRNA from 1 species